rnacentral:rRNA from 1 species
AGAAGUCCUGGCUAACUCCGUGCCAGCAGCCGCGGUAAUACGGAGAGGGCUAGCGUUAUUCGGAAUCAUUGGGCGUAAAGGGCGCGUAGGCUGAUUAGUAAGUUAAAAGUGAAAUCCCAAGGCUCAACCUUGGAAUUGCUUUUAAAACUGCUAAUCUAGAGAUUGAAAGAGGAUAGAGGAAUUCCUAGUGUAGAGGUGAAAUUCGUAAAUAUUAGGAGGAACACCAGUGGCGAAGGCGUCUAUCUGGUUCAAAUCUGACGCUGAGGCGCGAAGGCGUGGGGAGCAAACAGGAUUAGAUACCCUGGUAGUCCACGCUGUAAACGAUAAGUGCUAA